CCUACGGGUGGCUGCAGUGAGGAAUAUUGGUCAAUGGACGAGAGCCUGAACCAGCCAAGUAGCGUGAAGGAUGACUGCCCUACGGGUUGUAAACUUCUUUUAUAAAGGAAUAAAGUGAGUCACGUGUGCGUUUUUGUAUGUACUUUAUGAAUAAGGAUCGGCUAACUCCGUGCCAGUAGCCGCGGUAAUACGGAGGAUCCGAGCGUUAUCCGGAUUUAUUGGGUUUAAAGGGAGCGUAGAUGGGUUGUUAAGUCAGUUGUGAAAGUUUGCGGCUCAACCGUAAAAUUGCAGUUGAUACUGGCAGGCUUGAGUACAGUAGAGGUGGGCGGAAUUCGUGGUGUAGCGGGGAAAUGCUUAGAUAUCACGAAGAACUCCGAUUGCGAAGGCAGCUUACUAAACUGCAACUGACAUUGAUGCUCGAAAGUGUGGGUAUCAAACAGGAUUAGAUACCCCUGUAGUC
rnacentral:rRNA from 1 species